AUUGAACGCUGGCGGCAGGCCUAACACAUGCAAGUCGAGCGGAUGAAGGGAGCUUGCUCCUGGAUUCAGCGGCGGACGGGUGAGUAAUGCCUAGGAAUCUGCCUGGUAGUGGGGGAUAACGUCCGGAAACGGGCGCUAAUACCGCAUACGUCCUGAGGGAGAAAGUGGGGGAUCUUCGGACCUCACGCUAUCAGAUGAGCCUAGGUCGGAUUAGCUAGUUGGUGGGGUAAAGGCCUACCAAGGCGACGAUCCGUAACUGGUCUGAGAGGAUGAUCAGUCACACUGAAACUGAGAAAGGGUCCAAACCCCAAGGGGAGGAAGCAGGGGGAAAUUUUGGAAAAGGGGCGAAAGCCUAAUCCAGCCAGGCCGGGGGGGUGAAAAAGGUUUUCGGUUUGUAAAGCCCUUUAAGUUGGGGGGAAGGGAAGUAAGUUAAACCCUGGCUUUUUGGACUUUCCCAAAAAAAGAAGACCCGGCUAAUUUCGG
rnacentral:rRNA from 1 species